rnacentral:rRNA from 1 species
UACGUAGGGGGCAAGCGUUGUCCGGAAUUAUUGGGCGUAAAGAGCGCGUAGGCGGUCCGGUAAGUCGGUUGUGAAAGUCGGGGGCUCAACCCUCGGAUGCCGAUCGAUACUGUCGGGCUAGAGUCCGGAAGAGGCGAGUGGAAUUCCUGGUGUAGCGGUGAAAUGCGCAGAUAUCAGGAGGAACACCAAUGGCGAAGGCAGCUCGCUGGGACGUAACUGACGCUGAGACGCGAAAGCGUGGGGAGCAAACAGG